GAUGAACGCUGGCGGCGUGCCUAAUACAUGCAAGUCGAGCGAACGGACGAGAAGCUUGCUUCUCUGAUGUUAGCGGCGGACGGGUGAGUAACACGUGGAUAACCUACCUAUAAGACUGGGAUAACUUCGGGAAACCGGAGCUAAUACCGGAUAAUAUUUUGAACCGCAUGGUUCAAAAGUGAAAGACGGUCUUGCUGUCACUUAUAGAUGGAUCCGCGCUGCAUUAGCUAGUUGGUAAGGUAACGGCUUACCAAGGCAACGAUGCAUAGCCGACCUGAGAGGGUGAUCGGCCACACUGGAACUGAGACACGGUCCAGACUCCUACGGGAGGCAGCAGUAGGGAAUCUUCCGCAAUGGGCGAAAGCGUGACGGAGCAACGCCGCGUGAGUGAUGAAGGUCUUCGGAUCGUAAAACUCUGUUAUUAGGGAAGAACAUAUGUGUAAGUAACUGUGCACAUCUUGACGGUACCUAAUCAGAAAGCCACGGCUAACUACGUG
rnacentral:rRNA from 1 species